rnacentral:misc_RNA from 1 species
GCGUGCACAGCCUGGUUGGCUAUCUAAGGGCGAUUAAAGACGAAGGACUUCACUUCCUUGCUAAACUGGGCCUUGGUUACGACUGCGACUGUGUUCUCUGUUACAGAGAAUCGGAAUCGGUUCCCCACUAGUUCUAAAAAUGGAAUUACUCCUCCUGGACUUCGGCUCCUCAACUGACUAAACUUCAGAGAUAUAUUGAAGAUAGUAUGUAGGUUGAGAAUGCCCAUGAGACUAGUGCAAUCAGGUAAGAA